UACAUGCAAGUCGAACGAUACUUUCCAGCUUGCUGGGAAGGAAAGUGGCGCACGGGUGCGUAACGCGUAUGCAACCUACCUUAAUCAGGGGGAUAGCCCGAAGAAAUUCGGAUUAACACCGCAUAAAAUCACAGUAUAGCAUUAUACAAUGAUCAAAUAUUUAUAGGAUUAAGAUGGGCAUGCGUGACAUUAGCUAGUUGGCGGGGUAACGGCCCACCAAGGCUACGAUGUCUAGGGGAUCUGAGAGGAUGACCCCCCACACUGGUACUGAGACACGGACCAGACUCCUACGGGAGGCAGCAGUAAGGAAUAUUGGUCAAUGGAGGCAACUCUGAACCAGCCAUGCCGCGUGCAGGAAGACAGCCCUCUGGGUCGUAAACUGCUUUUAUUCGGGAAUAAACCUACUUACGUGUAAGUAGCUGAAUGUACCGAAGGAAUAAGGAUCGGCUAACUCCGUGCCAGCAGCCGCGGUAAUACGGAGGAUCCAAGCGUUAUCCGGAUUUAUUGGGUUUAAAGGGUGCGUAGGCGGCUUUUUAAGUCAGGGGUGAAAGACGGUAGCUCAACUAUCGCAGUGCCCUUGAUACUGAAGAGCUUGAAUGGACUAGAGGUAGGCGGAAUGUGACAAGUAGCGGUGAAAUGCAUAGAUAUGUCACAGAACACCGAUUGCGAAGGCAGCUUACUAUGGUUUUAUUGACGCUGAGGCACGAAAGCGUGGGGAUCAAACAGGAUUAGAUACCCUGGUAGUCCACGCCCUAAACGAUGAAUACUCGCUGUUAGCGAUACACAGUUAGCGGCUAAGCGAAAGCGUUAAGUAUUCCACCUGGGGAGUACGGUCGCAAGAUUGAAACUCAAAGGAAUUGACGGGGGCCCGCACAAGCGGAGGAGCAUGUGGUUUAAUUCGAUGAUACGCGAGGAACCUUACCCGGGCUUGAAAGUUAGUGAAUCAUUUAGAGAUAGAUGAGUCCGCAAGACACGAAACUAGUGCUGCAUGCUGUCGUCAGCUCGUGCGUGAGGUGUUGGGUAAGUCCCGCACGAGCGCACCCUAUGUUAGUGCAGCACGUAUGG
rnacentral:rRNA from 1 species